rnacentral:rRNA from 1 species
GACGAACGCUGGCGGCGUGCUUAACACAUGCCAGUCGAACGGAAAGGCCCUGCUUUUGUGGGGUGCUCGAGUGGCGAACGGGUGAGUAACACGUGAGUAACCUGCCCUUGACUUUGGGAUAACUUCAGGAAACUGGGGCUAAUACCGGAUAGGAGCUCCUGCUGCAUGGUGGGGGUUGGAAAGUUUCGGCGGUUGGGGAUGGACUCGCGGCGUAUCAGCUUGUUGGUGGGGUAGUGGCUUACCAAGGCUUUGACGGGUAGCCGGCCUGAGAGGGUGACCGGCCCCAUUGGGACUGAGAUACGGCCCAGACUCCUACGGGAGGCAGCAGUGGGGAAUAUUGCACAAUGGGCGGAAGCCUGAUGCAGCAACGCCGCGUGCGGGAUGACGGCCUUCGGGUUGUAAACCGCUUUCGCCUGUGACGAAGCGUGAGUGACGGUAAUGGGUAAAGAAGCACCGGCUAACUACGUG